rnacentral:misc_RNA from 1 species
AGAAAAGAAGAAAAGUGUCAU